rnacentral:rRNA from 1 species
UACGUAGGGUGCGAGCGUUAAUCGGAAUUACUGGGCGUAAAGCGUGCGCAGGCGGUUCGUUGUGUCCGUCGUGAAAGCCCCGGGCUUAACCUGGGAACUGCGAUGGAAACUAGCGAGCUGGAGUGUGGCAGAGGGGGGUGGAAUUCCGCGUGUAGCAGUGAAAUGCGUAGAGAUGUGGAGGAACACCGAUGGCGAAGGCAGCCCCCUGGGUCAAGAUUGACGCUCAUGCACGAAAGCGUGGGGAGCAAACAGG